rnacentral:tRNA from 1 species
AGGAUUAUAGUUUAUUAAAACAUUUGAUUUGCACUCAAAAAUUAUAGCUCAAAGCAAUUUAUCUUA